CUAGCACUACUCAAACUAAAAUCGUCUAAAGUCUCACCUUAAUGUAUUUUUUGUGCUUUUCGUAUUAAAGAUGUUUUAGUUUGAUAGAGAAACCAAAUAUUCAUUCAAGGUUUUGGUGGAAAUUCGCGCCGGUUGUAUUUUUGGCACCGUUGUUCGAUAACAGGAGUAAAAGAUUAUAUAGUUGGAAGAGUAAAAAUCUUUUAAUGGAUGGUCGUCUUGUUCUUCUCAAAUAUGUCUUGCGUCUCUUAUAGUUUAUUUGUUUUCCUUUUCCAAGCUCCCACAAGAAGGAUAUUCACAAUUGUUUUCAAAUGAUUUGGAUGACUUUCAUUUAGAUUAUUUGGAAGGAGCAGAAUCUCAUGAAUUUUCUUAAUAAAGAGUUGUCUUUUGCUCAGAUUGUUGAUAGAGAAAAACUUCAUUCAUGGCGGUCUAAGGUGUACAUGUCUAGUUUAGCUUUUGAUCUCCAUGCUUGGUUGAGUAACGUGUCACUUUGUAUUAGUUAUUUUAACGGGUAAUGUUGCUUGUUGGCUUUUAAAUCUUCUUUUCCUUUAAAGUUAUUUCUUGUAAACUAUGACCUUGUUUUGAUAGCUUAGAAGACACAUCUUAUACUUAAAUCGGUAUCAUCACUUUCUUCUUUAUUUUAUUCCAUUUGGCUUUUUAUAAAAAAAAAUAAAAAUUGUGAAGUGUUAUUAUCUCAUUCUAUUCCCUUUUAUAGUCCCUUACUCAAUGCUCUCUUUCCUUUCUAUCUAAUCUAAAUUCCUAUAAUUGCUAAACCAAACAUAUAUUUUUUCUUUGUUUAAAAAUCAAACAAACUUUUACAUGAGUUGUUUAUGACAGUAUAAUUGUCCAAACCAGCAAAUUGUGUGUGUAGAGGAGUAUGGACGAUGACUAGGACUUAGUGGGUGACAAGUGAGAUCCACUAGCCCAUAGAUUUAGGUGGAGGUGUGAGUGAUAAAGUGAAAAUUGGAUCCUUAUAAUGUGAGUAAAUUAACCCGAGGGAGAGGGAAUGAGAGAUCAACAUGACAGAAUUUCAGAAAAAGUAUAAAAACAAAUGUAAAUUUAACUUUAGAAUACCAACAGGAUACAGUAGUAGUAUUGUGCUCUACUAAUACAAACAUGCAUCAAAAGAUCAACAUAAAAUAUGAAUAUGUUAUUUAAUUUUAAAUGUUUAAUAGAUUAUAGAUGAAUGCACUUCAUCGACAGAACCUUUACAAUUUGCAACUUACCUAGAAAUUUCUAUUUACAUAAACACUUAAACUUGAUACACUUCGGAACUGUAGGCUUAAUACAAAAAUAAGGUGGACAAUCAGAGUUCUGGCGGCAUUCGGGCUUACGUACGGCUCCCGUUACAACAAGAAGUAGUGAAAUAAAUAGGAUAGUAAUAUAUACAAACUUGGGAAUUGUAUUCAUAUUUUUCUCAUUAACUUGUAAUAAGAUUGAAAAUUACUUGUUCAUUCUAUAUGUAAAGACAUUAAUGUUAGUUUAUAUCAAUCGAAAUCAUUUUUGAAAUCAGAAUAUAAAAUAUCUCUUUAUUAUAUUCAUGCGUUAUAUUGUCCUUUGCUCAUUCAAUUGAUCACUUGAUUAUUAUUUUAAAUAAAACAUCUCUUACCUUAACAAUCCAUUAUUCAAUUAUUUUUUGUCAAUAAAGUUAAUUUCAUUAC
rnacentral:lncRNA from 1 species